rnacentral:rRNA from 1 species
UACGUAGGGUGCGAGCGUUGUCCGGAAUUAUUGGGCGUAAAGGGCUCGUAGGCGGUUUGUCGCGUCGGGAGUGAAAACGCCGUGCUUAACACGGCGCUUGCUUUCGAUACGGGCAGACUAGAGGUAUGCAGGGGAGAACGGAAUUCCUGGUGUAGCGGUGAAAUGCGCAGAUAUCAGGAGGAACACCGGUGGCGAAGGCGGUUCUCUGGGCAUUACCUGACGCUGAGGCGCGACAGCGUGGGGAGCAAACAGG